GCCCCGCCGCGGGGACGGGGCGAGGGGCGCGGGGCUUCCUUCUCCCGACCCCCCCUUGCCCCCCGCCCCGAGGGGUUUAUCUCUAGUUGCGCGCCAGCUGAAAAAUCCCAGAUGCUGGCGGAUUUUUUUUUUUCCGAGAUGACCUUUUCGAUAGUCGAUUUGAAUUUUAAAUUUUAAUUAGCCGUAAUCGCAUCAAAAGCUCUUUGUCACAGGAGUCAGGGUCUGCAUCGCCGAUGCCACUUUUCUCUCACGAACCUCAACUAUUUAACUCCAUUAGCAGCGGAUGCCAGGAUAUUUGGGUGUUUUUGAGCGUUAAUGAUUGCAUCGUCACAAAGCUCAGAGUCAUAGUAUUUGGUAAUACUGUCAUUCCUACAGUUCGAAUUGGAAAACUCCAGCCCAGAAUGUGGAGGUGCCCUGCUCCAGCAAAAGAGUUAAAGGUCCUGGGGUUAAAUCUGCCACCGUUCAGUAAAGCCAGGAGCUUUAUCUAUUUGUCCACCAUGGCAGACAUGCUCAGGGAGCAGGAGCUGUGUUCCUUUAAAGACUGUAUCAUCCCACAGUCGGAGCCUGAUAGUUACAGGCUCUACCAAAAGUGGAGCAAUUUCUGCCCCAAAGUGCAAGUGCAGUUUCCAUGAAGUUACUUGGUGGAUUUGUUAACUUGUGGAGUUUUGUUGUCUUUGUACACUGAAAAUGUUAGGCAGAAUCUUGUAUUCAUAUGAAUUACGCUACUUGGCAGAAAUCCCUUAUUUUGUAUAAUUCGUUGUUCAUUUUGCCCUCUCCUCUUUAAUAAAUAAGUUGAGAAAAAAUAAGAUUACAAAAAGAAACAAGGUUUUAAUUCCUUUUUGAGUGCUGUGAGCUAGGUAUACUGCAAUCUAACAGUGUCUUAUUUUUAGUAAACCAAUUACAAUUUCACAGUGAGUCUGUGGUCAUUAGUGAGUUUGAAAUGUCAGACAAUACAAGAGCAUUCCCAUUUCUCUAAGUAUCCAUUUGGCACAUUGCUGGCUUGCUUUUUCAGGACUCAGAAAUACUACACUCAGCUUCACACCAAGGCAACGUUGGAUACAAUACAGGUGUUGUACUGAUUUACCUACGGUUGUAUAAAAUACUGGUAGUACAACUCUAAUGUAAACAAGCACAAAGUCAUUACUGGAAGCAAGGCAACAGGAAGAACUGCCCCAGAAACUUUAUUCCAAGAGCUCCUGCGUUUCUGACAGCCCUUGUGACAGCAUGGUGGGGUAAGCAAACCAUCUACUUUCAUCUCCCGGGCCCCUGAGCCCUUCUCAGGCUGAAGGCUCCACUACUAGGAAGGCCAGAGGAGGCUCCUUUUUCAGUCCUUCCUCGAGGGAGCAGAGCCAGGCAGAGCUGCUUGGCCAAAAUAGAACUUUCUGGCUGGUGUCUGUGCUCAGAAGAGAUCACACCCACUGUGCUGCCAAACGUGAGGAUGGCUGAACAUGAACAAGGACUGAUAAAAGGUGUUGGGAGCGACCACAACAGCAGCGGGCAUUAGAAAGACUGAAUGCUUCAUUCCCUCCUGUGAAACUGUGAGGAAUUUAACCCCAAAAGAUGGUGGUAAGACAAGGAGCUGCCGUAGGCAUCCAUGGAGCUUUCCCAAUUAGCAAUCUCCUCCAGCACUUACCCUGCAGUCAAA